GAUGUAUGUGUUUCUUGAAAAUGUUAAAUCUAUUAUUUUGAAAUGUUAAACUAUUUUUUGGAAAUGUUGAAUUUAAUUUAGAUCUAAUAGACUUUGUUGACACACAGCUUAUCCAUAAGAGCCUCUUUUAAUUUUCACUGUAGUUAUUAGCUAGAUAAAGCUUCAAAAAGUAGCCUGAAAACGUACUCUUAAAAUACGCUUCACGAGAUGUGAUACGUGCUUCCUUGCCCGUUUUCUCCGCGCUCACGCUUGCUGGUGGACGGCCGCUUUGCCGCCGCCCGCCGCCUAUAAAUGAGCCCUCCCACGAACGCUGAAAAUUCCUUCUCCGCUUCAUCCCCUCGCCGUCGUCGGAGCCGAAGGUGCGGGCGCUUCCUCGCCGCCGGUCGGGGACCGAGGAAUGGCCGGGACGGCGGCGUCCGUGGAGCGCGUGAGGGACCGCGCCACCGGCCUCGACAAGUUCGUCCUCCGCGAGGUCCGGGGCAGCUCCGUCGAGGUAUAUUUAUAUGGAGGUCAGGUGACAUUUUGGAAAAAUAACUUCGGUCAUCAACUGCUUUUUGUCAGUAAAAAGGCUACUUUUAAACCGCCAAAAGCCAUUCGUGGUGGCAUCCAAAUUUGCUUCCCUCAAUUAGGUAGCCAUGGAGUUCUUGAACAGCAUGGAUUUGCAAGGAACCGAUUCUGGAGUGUUGAUGAAAGUCCACCUCCUUUUCCAGUUGCUACUUCCAAUUGUCAUAUUGACUUGAUACUCAAGUCAUGUCAAGAGGAUUUGAAGGUCUGGCCACAUAGCUAUGAAUUUCGUCUGAGAGUUGCACUUAGUCCAAGGGGAGAUCUUAUUCUCACAUCUCGAAUUAAAAAUAUGAGCUCAGAUGGCAAGCCAUUCCAAUUUACAUUUGCAUAUCAUACUUACUUUUCGGUAUCUGAUAUCAGUGAAGUGCGGGUAGAAGGUUUGGAGACCUUGGACUAUCUUGACAACUUGCAAUCCAGGAAUCGUUGUACUGAACAAGGAGAUGCAGUUGUAUUUGAGUCUGAAUAAGGUGGACAAGGUAUAUUUGAGUGCUCCACAGAAGAUUGUGAUCAUUGACCAUGAGAAGAAAAGAACGUUUGUUUUGAGGAAAGAGGGACUUCCAGAUGUUGUCGUUUGGAACCCUUGGGACAAGAAGGCAAAAGCAAUGCCAGAUUUUGGGGAUGAUGAGUACAAGAACAUGCUAUGCGUAGGGGCUGCAGCUAUUGAGAAGCCAAUUACUUUGAAGUCUGGUGAAGAGUGGCUAGGAAAGCAGGAAAUUUCCGCUGUACCAUCCAGUUACAGCAGCGGACAAUUGGAUCCUGAAGUCAUUCGUCGGAUGCACACAAUCUAAGUUUCUCGAUGAUUAUCUCCUAUGUGAGUGUUCUGGGCUUCACUUCCCUAGAGCUAAAAACUGCCGCGCCUCUGAACUGACAAUCUUGAAAUUUCGUACGUGGACUUCAAGUUUCUGUUUUCCUGUCCAAUUCCAAAACAGCCUGUAUUUUUUCUGGAGCAGCAUUGGGAUUGAAAUUACCACCAUGUUAACAUUAGAAAAUAUGGAGAAUUUUUCAUCCAUAUUAAUAUCAAGCUUGCACUGUACGAUUUUUUUUUUUGUCCCUGAAACGUUGUAUUGUAUUGCAAAGGGAGGGAGCGCAAGUUUGUACUGGUUAUGGGCUUGUGGCAAACAAAACUAUUCAUAUUAAUUUUGAGGCUGUAUUAUAUUGUAAGCGUACGUGUU